GACGAACGCUGGCGGCGUGCUUAAUACAUGCAAGUCAACUUGACUUUAGAUAGCAAUAUCGAAAAGUAGGGUGGCGCACGGGUGCGUAACGCGUAGGUAAUCUGCCCUGAGGUCUGACAUAACCCGUCGAAAGGCGGGCUAACAUCAGAUGAUAUAUAAUCACGACAUCGUGGAAAUAUCAAAUCUUCGGAGCCUUGGGAUGAGCCUGCGUCUGAUUAGGUAGUUGGCGGAGUAAUAGCCCACCAAGCCUACGAUCAGUAGCUGGUCUGAGAGGAUGAUCAGCCACACUGGAACUGAGACACGGUCCAGACUCCUACGGGAGCAGCAGUAAGGAAUAUUGCUCAAUGGGGGAAACCCUGAAGCAGCAACGCCGCGUGAAGGAUGAAAUACUUUUGUAUGUAAACUUCUGUAAGAUGGGAAAAAUAUUCUCCUCGGAGAAUUGAUUGUACCAUCAGAGUAAG
rnacentral:rRNA from 1 species